rnacentral:rRNA from 1 species
GAAAAGAACUUUGAAAAGAGAGUUAAAUAGUACGUGAAAUUGUUGAAAGGGAAACGAUUGAAGUCAGUCAUGCUAGUGAAAAAUCAGUUUAACGGGUUUUGAGUUUGGGAGUAGAGGCAGGGUCAAACCGUUUCUCUUUUGAACUUGGGAUUUGUUAGAUGUACUUUUUCUUUGGCAGGUCAGCGUCGAUUUCGGAGGUUGUAAAAUACUUGGGGGAAAGUAGCUCUGCUUCGGGAGAGUAUUAUAGACCCUGGGGGAUGCAGCCUGCGGGAUCGAGGAUUGCAGCAAAUGCCUUUGGCUUGUCGCCUGAUCUCUGGAUGUUACCUCGCUUGUGACAACAUUCUUGCCACCUGUGGGUACUAAUGCCCAUUAGGUUAGAGCGAUCAAAAAUUUUGCUAAG